rnacentral:piRNA from 1 species
UAUUCGCAACCGUUUUUUCUC